AUACUGAAAUGCAUGGUGGGAAAUCAGUGUGAAAUUCAUUGGCUGUUCCUGCAACGGUAAUAGUCCGAGCGCCACCCAGUAG
ncrna:unclassified sequences AdoCbl variant RNA